ACCCUAAACUGUCAGCUGCAAAUUGAAAUCCUCAUCUCUGACUAUAAUUUUGGCUGAAAAAGGAAUGAAAGUGAUGUUGAGCUCCUGGAGAACUACCCUGUGAGAUUAAGAAAGUCAAGUUGAGAAAAAUCACAGUGAAGACAACUGGACAGUGGAGCUUUCAAUCACUUUGCUCACAGUAGCCAUCUGUACUUUAAAAUCUUCUAAUAGAAAAAUAGAGGUGUAUUUUGCCCUCUGAAUGUUAAACAGUAUCUCCAAAGUUUUGUGUAAUGAAGCUUAAACUAUGACAUAUUAAAAGUGUAACAUCGCUAA